CCUCCCUCCGGCCCCCACCUCCUCUCCUCCCUCUCCUCCUCCGUCGGAUCCGGCCGCCCCCCACUCCCUCUUCCUCGGCUCCUCCUCCCUCUCCCCCAACCGAGGCGGUCGGGGUGGGCGCCCGGGGCCGGGCUGGGGCAGCGCGGGUGCCCUCUGAGAAGUGGGACCCACUUGCUAGGACGGAUGAAAUUUUUUUGGCAGAAGCCUUACAUGCUUU
rnacentral:lncRNA from 1 species